GGGGUGUUGGUGCAGUGGCAGCACGUCGCGUUGUCAACGCGAAGGUCACGGGUUCGAUCCCCGUACGCCCCG
rnacentral:tRNA from 1 species